AAACGACUCUCGGCAACGGAUAUCUCGGCUCACGCAUCGAUGAAGAACGUAGCAAAAUGCGAUACUUGGUGUGAAUUGCAGAAUCCCGUGAACCAUCGAGUUUUUGAACGCAAGUUGCGCCCGAAGCCAUUCGGCCGAGGGCACGUCUGCCUGGGCGUCACAUA
rnacentral:rRNA from 1 species